GAAAUGCGAUAAGUAAUGUGAAUUGCAGAAUUCAGUGAAUCAUCGAAUCUUUGAACGCACAUUGCGCCCCGUGGUAUUCCGCGGGGCAUGCCUGUUCGAGCGUCAUUUAGACCAAUCAAGCCUGUGCUUGGUAUUGGGGUUUGCGGUUCCGCAGCCUCUAAACGCAGUGGCGGUGCUAUUGAGCUCUGAGCGUAGUAAAUCUCCUCGCUAUAGAGUCUCGGUAGUUACUUGCCAACAACCCCCAACUUAUCAAGGUUGACCUCGGAUCAGGUAGGGAUACCCGCUGAACUUAA
rnacentral:misc_RNA from 1 species